UGUAGUAGUGGCAGCAAUAAAAAGGGAACUAUUUGAUGAGAGCCCAGUGGUUCAUUUGCCUGAGAGGGAUUCGGAGACGAUGGGCAUUGUGGAAGCAUGCAUUUAGCAUCAGGCACUCAUUGUAUUAGGGCUUUUAACUAUCUUAUGCAGUUGGCCUGCUUUCAUUGAGAAUUUGUGGGGAAAAAACUCAGUUCACUACAAUGCCCGAGAGUGACAGUCAUCAUCAUAUUGAGUUACAGGUGGCAGCAAUGCAGAACAUUUUGUCAUUCUUCAUUGAGGCUAUUGCUCACUGUAGCUGUUGGUACAGUCAUAACCAUAAGAAUGCAAGCCUGGCUGUGAUUGUGUGGAUCUGUGCCAGUGCCCCAUUUGAUAGAUCAACACUUUCUAGACACAAGAUGAAGAAAUUGCUCGAGAGUGAACAAAAAGGUCUGCUAUUGGUGUAAAUUUCACUUCCCUACAAAAGACCGUUUCCACUCUUCAAGGAAUUGUAAGUGUGUGAAGAAUUUAUAGUGCCAUAAAUUCCUUUAACAAAUUUUUGAGUAACAUUCUGACAGGAAGCUCCUACAGAUGCAGGAACCUUUUUAGGGGUUGGCAUCCAUAAGGCAGAUAUGGACCGCAAAAUCAGGGAUUUUGUGAUUCUUCCCUUGGGGAGCAGAAACAGCAUACCUGAGGACUUGCCAUGGUCUCCCAAUCUGGAGACAGGCAUCGACUAGCACUACACCAGUGAAAGGUGCAUGCCAUCUUGCAGAUCAAACAGGUAAGGGGUAUAAUGGCCAGAGAUUAUACAGUACCCUUUUGGAUACACAAAAGCUGCCCCCCCCCAAUCUCAAUACCAGAUGUCCCACCCCAUCAAAAGAAGGUGGCACAGUUAGAGAUUAUCAGACACUUAGAAAAGAGAGCCAUUGAAGAGGUCAGACUAUACCAAAGGCUCUGGUAUUUAUUCCAGAUUCUUUUUAGUUCCCAAGAAAGACCAAGGACUUUAGGAUUAUUCUGAAACUCAAUGGGCUAAAUCUGUACACAAGGAGAAACAAAUUCUGGGAAGUCAUGGUGCAAGCAAGACUUUCUUGAUUUCAGCAAGGAGACUGGAUGUGGUCUAUAGACCUUGAUGAUGCCUAUCUACAUAUAAAGAUGGUAAAGGCUUCCAGGAUGUUUUUGAGCUUCUGGAUACAGCAAGUAAUUGUCAAUUCAUAGCCCUGCCAUUUAGUCUCACCACAGACCCUCCUGGUGUUUACAAAGUGCUUGGCAACAGUUGCAGCUCACAUGAAACUAAGGGGAAUCUGAAUAUUCCCAUGUCUGGACAACUGGCUACUUAUCUCUACUAUGAGGGAUUAAUGCAAGGAGCUACUUACUCCAGGUGUGUCCAUCACUAAGGAUAUCGGCCAACACUGCAAAGUCCCAACUGGAACCAUUGCCUUAUUUAUAUGCUGCCAUCUAGGCAACAUUAAAAAAAACUGGUCAAAUUACUUCAAGACAUAAGAAUUUCCUUACAGUCUGUGGUCAUCCCUGUGUUACAUCUCGCCACCAAACUCUGCUCUGAUUCUCAGAUUGUUAUGCCUCAUAACAAUUAUUCAUCUGAUUCCCUCUGCAAGGUUUUAUAUGACAGUUCUGCAUUGUACCUUCCACAUCAACUGGACUCAGCUGGGGGACCACAUGGACCAAGUUAUUCUGUUGUCAAAAGUUUGCCAGUCACAUCUACAAUGGUGGCUACAUCUACCAAAUUUGAAUAGAGGAUGAUAGCCCUUUGCUUUGCCCCUCCUCUACUCUUAGUCACAGGCACCAAGGAUUUGUGUACCCUGCGACUGGGCAGGAGGUCAUUUUUUACAGCUACAUACUGGAAAUGAGAGUGGUUCUCCUGGUGGUGUGGGCAUUUUAAGACCAUCAUUCCCAGGGUACAGUAGCUGUUCACGUAGACAGUAUGUUAGUAAUGUCAUAUAUUAACAAAUGGGAUAAUCAGGUCCUACCUUCUUUUUCAGGAAGCCAUAAGACUUUGGGAAUGGGUAGGGCUUUCACUUUCUCUUGGCAAUGCACAACCCCAGCUGAGCCUACAACUAAGCAGAUGUAUUCUUAUGUCAUGAUUCUCAGUCGAAUUACAGCAAGGAUGAUAUUUCAUUGUUUUGGAAAGUUUCGCUGUGACCAUUUUUGCAUCACUGUUUAAUACCAAAUGCAGCAACUUAUUUUCCCUCAUGCUGCCACAGGGACACACACACUGGUAUGCUAUAGUCCAUCAGUGGCUGACAGUGUUUCUUUACACCUUUCAGCUCCUCUUCUUAUCCUGAUGUUUUUACAGAAAGCCAAGUUGUGUAUUGCAGCAGUAAUCCUGGCCUCAAAAAGCAUGGUUCUUCCUACUUUGGCCUCAUGUCGAAAAGAAGCCUCUGUUUUUAGAGCCCCAUCUGGAUGUUCUAUCUCACCAGUCCAAUGAGCCUCACCUGGAUUUUCAUUUCCUGAAAUUAACCACGUGUUUAUUUACAUUUUCCUUAAGUUCAUAAAUAGUUACUAGGCAUGCAGUCCAAGAGACCAUUCAUGAGCAUACUGCAAAUUUCUAGCUGCCCCAAAGCACUGUCUUGUUUUAAGUGACUUUCUCAAGGUCACGCAGUAGGCAAAUGAAGGCUGAGGGACUCUAAUCAUGUACCACAGGAAGUAGAUCAGUAACAGCUCACAGUCUUAAUUCUCUGAGACAACUGCCAGCCCGUAAAGGCCAGGGGACCUUUAAUACCUGUCAAAGGUGGGGUCCAGAUCCUUACUACAGCCAGAAAAUUUACAAAAGCAGAUGGGAACAGUUUUCUCUUUGUUCCUCCCAACAGGAUAUGAAUCCAUUUGCAGUUCUAAUCCCUUCAGUUCUUCUUUUUCUAUCUUCCUUAUUUGAUACAUGUUCUAGUUUCUUUGUUGUAAAAGCUCACUUGACAGCUAUGUCCAACUUCCACCAAGACUUCAGCCUUCCUUGUGCAGUGGAUUCCAUCUGUGACUUCCUGUUAAGGAUCCCGUUUCACCAUGAGGUCUUAAUUUCAUUCUUGAGAAGUUUUUCUGAGUUCCUUCUGUGCCAGUAGUUUCACCUGAUCUCAGAUACCUUCCCUGGAAAAAACACACUCUCUGGUGGAUACUGUAUCAACAAGGAUAGUUGUAAAACUACCAACUGUCUCCAGUCAUCCUACCUACUUGAUGUUUUCAUAAUGAUAGUUUUCCUGUGAGCCACCCCAUUGUUCAUGUAUGUAAUAAUGUUAGAGAUAAAUAUCAAACAAUCUGUUACCUUGCCAGUUUUCUUCCCACAAUGUUCAAACAAAGGUGAAUAUAUACUAUAUUGUCUUGAUAUUUGCAGAUAACUAAUGUUCUAUGUACAAAGUGCAAAGACACACUCAGCUCUUUUGUCUAUUUGCCUGCAAAUGUUGGGCCAGAAAAUAUCUAAAGUAACACUAUGUAGGUGGCUAAUGGAUGGAAUCUCCUUCGGCCAUGUCCCCAGUAGUAAAAUCACUCCAGUUAAACCUAAGGUCCACUCAAGUAGGUCUAUAGCCACAUAAUCAGCCUUCUGCACAAAUGUGUCUGUAGGUAAUAUCUGUGCUGCUGUGACAUGGACUUUACAUUUAUUGUAAGACAAUAUAAGCUGCAUAUGGUCUCUAGAUCCAGGUCUUCCAUUAGAGCUACUAUGAUUCUUCAUAUUCUGUAACAGUGCCACACAAGAUGUUUAGCUAGAGACUCUGUUCUUCAGUUUUGAUGUGGACAAACUAGAUAAUGUAAGAUACAGAAGUUAGUGUACAUACCAUAAAGCUAAAUCUUCAUUAUCCAUGUCCAUCCACUUCAGUAAAUGAUCUCCUUCUUCUCCUUUCCAAAUUGUCACCAUUAUUACUUCCUGACAAGCCUUGUUGUCCCCCCCCCCCCCCGAAGCCUUCCCUAGGGCAGUUACUACUCAUCUAAUGUUAAUACAAGAUCGUUCUUAUAUUAGCUAAAGUAAUUCAGUUGCUGAUUCAGCGCACACUAUCUGGAGUACAGAGAAGUGAAGGGCAUUCUGAGAGCUAAGGGAGGAAUUUGAGCUUUGUAAGAUAAGGCAACUAAUCCUUCAGUUUUGAGAUAGAUAAAUAUGGAUAAUGAAUAUCUGUUAAGUAAAUAACUUUUGUUUCUGUUACUUAUCACUUCAGCCUUUAUGAUCAGUAAAUUGCAGGCUCCGUCGAGUGAUGAGCUUUCUCUCUUUAAGUCUUCUCUCCAAACAAACCCUAGUUGAGUGUACCCUGUAUCAGGGGGCCAGUUUACUGUUCUAACUUCUUAAUAACUAAGUUAGAGGAUAGGUCCUUUUGAAUGUGCAUAUCAAAAGAACCCUCAGUUGUCAUCUCUUGUAUUUUUGAGUUUCAUCAGCUUUAAGAAUCCUUUUGUUCCCUUUACUUAGGGCUGUGCAGGAAAAACAUGGUGUGAAACAGACUGCCAAUGUGUAUCUUUUCUUUUCCAUUCUGCUUCACGGUAGCAGUCUCUGCUGCUUGCUUGCUUAGAAAAGUUAUAGUUCAGGAAAUCAUCAUUGCAGCUAACUAGCCCAAGCCAUGCACCUUUUAUAAAUCAUUGCAGUUGAGAUGUAGUUAGUCCAAGAUCAGAGUUGGCAUUGAUAGGGCUGUCCUUCAAAGCUUGCUGGCAUGAAUUCAGUACUGUUCCUCUCAAACAGGUGUACAUAUUGAGACUGCCUCAGAGAAGGCAGGUUAUUGUACCAGGACAUAUUGUACAACCAGAUCUUCAUACUAGUCAAGGUCUAGCUGCCCAUUCCUCCUGCCCGUCUCUCUGAAGGAUUGAAAGAUUACUGAUGUGUCUUGUCUGCUUUCUUCUAACCCUUGCUUAGGACCCUGUCAGGACUCCUUACUUGAGGGAAAGAACUGAGAUGAAACUAUACAGGGUCUUCUAAGUGGUAUUCCCUUGUUAAUGACAGAGGGGCAUGUCUGUCAAGGCUACCUAGGUUGAACUGUUUGUGACUUGUACUGGAGAGCUUCACUGGCUGUAGGAGUGCUAAAAUGAACAUUAUGGUCCUGCUGAUCAAAGUGUUCUCAGAGAUUUGGAGUGCAGUAGGGUGAUCCAUACCUCUCAAAUGUUACACAGAUGUAGCCAGAAAAGGAUAUUUGGUAACCAGACCUCAUAAUACUAUCCCAGCCCCUCUUAACAUUAAAAACACCCCUAGAAAUGUUGCCCGGUAAAUACUUCUAAAAUGUUUACAUCAUUUUUACUCAUUGCUCCCCUAAAGCCAUGAUUUUUCACUUUAUUAUAAUUAUAUAUUUUUUUAAGAAAACUACUCUCAUAUUUCUUCAUGCUGUGCAAAGAACUCUAGUGCUAACAGUUUAGACCAGACCCACUUUAUCAUCAAUCCUACUUGUUAAUUUCACCAUAAGCAUUUUUUUACCUUAAGGUCAUUAGAAUAUCCGAGUACUGAAAAGAAAAACAUAAAUUCUAUUAAUGCUUAAUAAAAAUAGUACACAUUUCCAACAAUGUGUUCACAUCUCUUCCUUAAGUAAAUCCAGCAAGACCUGAAAACUACUUUGUGCAGUAGGGUGAAGCUGUACUGACCUGCUCAGCAACUAAAUUUACAAAUAAAUAUUUGAGAAUAAAAAUUUUACAGCCAGAUGUGUCAUCUGUCCAAAUAUGUAUGCACGUGUGUGUGUACACAUAUGAAAAGCACAGAAAAACAAAUUUAUUUAAGCAUCUUUUCAUUACGGACACAGUACACAGCCAAACAUACAAAUAUCCAAGACGACAUUCGGUUUAACCCAAACACCUCACUGUAGCUGGACUGUUAGCAAAAGAAAUUUAGACUGCAUGAAAUGCAUGACAGGAUUUUACAAGUCCUGCUUCUGAAAACUUUUCCUGGAGCUGUAUUUCACAAGGAGACAAAGAGCAGGGUCAACACUCCACACAGGCUGUCGAAUCAUCUCACACUACUGCAAACCCUGCUCUGUUGUCAGCAGUAGGUGUUACUUGAUCAAGGCAAAUGCGACCUUGAAAAUCAGUAAGUUAAAAAAUGCAGUGCAUAAAAAAAUUAAAGAGCAACCAAUCGCAAAGCACAAGCUUACCUCUACAACGUGCUAGUUUUACAGCACUGAUAAGUGCUUCUCUUUAAAGUAGAUCAGCAAAGCAUAAUAUAGUUAUUAAUACUACACUUCCUUAUGAAAGUAAUUCAGUUUUAAAAAACAGUUUGCUCACCUUGUUUGCUGUCACAGCAAAGUACUGCACGUUCUGUAGGAAACUGAUGUCCCCAGGUAUGGAGCUUAAGUUAUUGAGGCUGAGAUCCAGGAAGCGCAAUUUACGACAAAAAAAAAAAGCUGAACGGGAAUCUUUUAGAUUUGGUUGCGGUUCAAGUGCAGAGAUUCCAGACUAGUCAAAUUACCUAUAUGAAUGGGAAUGUAAGCAAUCUGAUUAUACCACAGUUUAAGGCAGGUGAGACAAUGCAGGUGCCACCACCAUGGAGCAUAUGUCCACUUGUUCCCGGCUAAACAUUUGGAAGGUUGAGCAGCCAGAAAUGGAUGCAAGCUUGAUUCUGACAGGCUGGCAGUCAGCUCAAAAAGCCGGGAUUUAAUUUUUUAAAAACUAAAAGUACCAGGAAAUAAGGGGUGCCACACUUAUUAGUUUGCAGUGCCCCUGUGAGGAAGCUGUGGCUCUCCAGGGUGCCAAAGCGCACACUUUGGGAACCCCUGUCCUAUGACAUAUUCAUUGAAUCACUUAAAUGCAAUUCGAUGAAUGUGUCGCCCAUUCCAUAUUCGCUUAGAAGCAUUUUUGAGCUUCUAAUAUAGACCGUCUUGUGACACCUCUCCAGAACAUCUUGCAGAAGAGGUGCCCUGGAAGAGGACAUGUAAGGGGAGACGUACAGAUUCCCCCAUGGAGUCUCUUAUAGAAGACACCGAUUUUGAUGAAGGAUCACCCAGAUCACCACUGGAUGACAUCUCCUUUGAAGAUAUUCUAGAGAUCUUGAAGCUGAAAGGUGCUUCAUCUUCCCAAACUCCCUCUCCCAAAGAAAAGGUGAUCUUGGAGGCUUUUGGUUCUGGCCCGUCUACGUCUUGGUAGUACAAUACACUGGAAUGUAAUGUUUGUUGUAUAGAAUAUUUCUAAUAUUUUUCACAUAUAAAAGCAUUUAAAGGUUUGGAAUGGAAUGGAAUUUAUAACACUAUAUGUGAUAAAUUAUACAACAAAAUAUUUUUAUAUUUUUUAAUGUUUAAUAGUAUAUUCAUAACAGUUAAAAACAAUGUAUUUAGCAAAAUUUUGGAUAUCAUGAUGGUAGGUUUAUUCUUAUUCAUUAAUUGGUUGUUAGAUUGUUUGAUUAAGCAAUUAAGUAUGCUAAAUUGAUUUUGAAAUGGAUACAAAAGGUGUGGUGGUAUGUAUGAUGAAUGUAUUCCUUGAGAAGGCGAAGGCCGAGGUA